AGAGCGAACGCUGGCGGCAGGCCUAACACAUGCAAGUCGAGCGCCCGUAGCAAUACGGGAGCGGCAGACGGGAGAGUAACACGUGGGAACGUACCCUUCAGUUCGGAAUAACCCAGGGAAACUUGGACUAAUACCGAAUACGUCCGUAAGGAGAAAGAUUUAUCGCUGAAGGAUCGGCCCGCGUCUGAUUAGCUUGUUGGUGAGGUAACGGCUCACCAAGGCGACGAUCAGUAGCUGGUCUGAGAGGAUGAUCAGCCUCACUGGGACUGAGACACGGCCCAGACUCCUACGGGAGGCAGCAGUGGGGAAUAUUGGACAAUGGGCGCAAGCCUGAUCCAGCCAUGCCGCGUGGAUGAUGAAGGCCCUAGGGUUGUAAAGUCCUUUCGACGGGAAGAUAAUGACGGUACCCGUAGAAGAAGCCCGGCUAACUUCGCGCCAGCAGCCGC
rnacentral:rRNA from 1 species